CAGAGGGUGCGGGCGUUAAUCGGAAUUACUGGGCGUAAAGCGCGCGUAGGCGGCUUUGCAAGUCGGGUGUGAAAUCCCCAGGCUUAACCUGGGAACUGCAUUCGAGACUGCAUCGCUAGAGUAUGGGAGAGGGAAGUGGAAUUUCCGGUGUAGCGGUGAAAUGCGUAGAUAUCGGAAGGAACAUCAGUGGCGAAAGCGACUUCCUGGACCAAUACUGACGCUCAUGUGCGAAAGCGUGGGGAGCAAACAGGAUUAGAUACCCUGGUAGUCCACGCCAUAAACGAUGAGAACUGGAUGUCGGGAGGGUCUGCCUCUCGGUGUCGUAGCUAACGCGUUAAGUUCUCCGCCUGGGGAGUACGGCCGCAAGGUUG
rnacentral:rRNA from 1 species